UACGUAGGCGGCCAUAUAAGUCAGAAGUGAAAGGCUACGGCUUAACCGUAGUAAGCUUUUGAAACUGUAUGGCUUGAGUGCAGGAGAGGAAAGCGGAAUUCCUGGUGUAGCGGUGAAAUGCGUAGAUAUCAGGAAGAACACCAGUAGCGAAGGCGGCUUUCUGGACUGAAACUGACGCUGAGGUACGAAAGCGUGGGGAGCGAACAGGAUUAGAUACCCUGGUAGUCC
rnacentral:rRNA from 1 species